UUUCUCCCUCUUAACCUUUUUUUCAGCCCCCAGCCGAACAGAUGUUGCUCGAGUUUUUUUUUUUAUCUCUCUUUCCCGAGAUUCGAUCGUUUCCCGAUUCAUUUUCUUCUUUUCUCGACUCGCGGAUUGCGAGCGUUCGAUCGCGACACGUCACACGGAAACGAUCGUUUGCACGGCUUCCGUCUAUCUACGAAGUAUGGUUCUGCUUGAUUUUUUUUUCUUCUUCUUUUUUCACUUCUUGAAGCUCUUCGAAAGCUUGGAGAACCGGGAACGUGGAUAGCUAAACGCUCGUUUCGUUGGGAUUCGUAUUUUAAUAUCACGUGAGGCGAUUGAGAGCGGUGAAGAAUCGGAUGUGUGUAGGAUAGGAUGUAGGUCGAUCUUGGAUAGCGUUAGAGGGAAGAGGGAGAGAGAUAGAGGUAGAGAGAGAGAGUCUAAUGGUUGCGUUGAGAACGCGCGAGUUUACUAAACUAUAUUUUUAUUUCCUUCCCGAGGAAAUAUAUAAUUCGUUCUCGCACAAUUGUGUGAGAAAUAUAAAAGUAAAACAAACUUAGAAGCGGUUUCGUGGUCAGAUAUAAAAUGUCCUUCAUCGAUCAUUUCUCUAAACGUUUGUCUCUCGUUUUAUAUAUAUAUAUAUACCAAGUGACACGUGUACGUAUAUAUACCAAUUCGUUGCGACGUAUUAUUUUUCGCGGGUUAUUUCGACCGAAGAGUGUUAAUUAAACGCUACGUUUCAAAGGGCUUAUUUUUGAUACUUCAAUCUCCACUGAUUUUCGAAUUCCCUCUCUUUAACGUCUAUCGAAAUAUUGUUGUAGCGCGUCGUGCUCAAGCGCAUCAGAGUGCGCGACGAGUAGUACACAGUAUAGUACAGGCUUCACCUUUGACAUUUCGUCGAUUAAGUCGGUCUGAAGCACCGCCGAUUUCCGUAUCGAGACGGUUCAAAACAACCGAGACAAUGCGAUUCCCGAUAUCUAGCGAGAAACAACUGCUCCCCCCCUACGUAUACCCGGCGCCAGUUUAACAUUGAACGUUUCGAAACCUUGAAUGUUUAAAAACUGAUAAUGCGAAUAAUAACGCAUUGUCUCCGCUCCUUGUUGAAAUUUCACCUAGACGUUCUUUCAAAAUUCUUCGAAUCUUUUUCCACGAAACAUUAAAAGCCUCUCUAAUCGAACGAGAGAAUUUAUUUCGAUUAAAUUUUUAUUUAAAUUAUAUAUAUAUAUAUAUAUUAUAUAUAUAUAUAUUGGUAAAAUUUAAUUGUUCGAAAUUAAUACAAUUAAUAAUAAGUUAAAUGUUAUUCGAGUUUUAUUUCAAUGAUCUUUUUUUUCAAGAAUAUGUUUUUAAUUAAAUUCCAGUUUUUUUUAUCUUUUCGUCCGAUUUCUUCUACGAUGAUUUUUUUUUUCGAGUCUAUUUUCGAUCUCUCGGCCGGUACAUUUCCAUUUUCGUACGGUUGGAUCCGUAAAGGUGUGGCCAAUCGAGGAAAGCAAUUUGGCUCUUUGCGGUCGCGCGCGACGGAAAUUGAAUUUUAUGCAGAGAGGCGAUAUUAAUUGACAGGAUCGGUCAGAUCGGCGUGAAUCCAAUCGAGCUCAAAAAUUUCGCCACUUUUCCGUGUAAUAUUGUAAAUAUGCCAGGUGUUCCACUUUAAUUAAUAGAUUUACGAUGAUGAUAUUUAUAUUGAUAAACAGGGGAAAGAAUUACACAGUUUACGAUUAAAUAAUAAACAAAAUUUACAACGUGUAUUUUUCCUAAUUUUUUUCCCACUAUUAUUCUGUUUUUAGACGUGACAGUAGUUUUGCGCCUCGAGCUGCCUCGAGCCGACCAAAUGCUCUUUUUAUGUAAUGACAUAUCAUGUUUCAAAGUAAGAACGUGCUUUCGAAAGUGUACACUUUUCCAACGGUUUUGCCAUUUUUCGAAUUAUUCUUUCAGAAAGUCUCUCUUGUUUCAACGAUUAGUAUCGCGCGAUUAUUUUUUUUUUGAUGUUUUUUUUUUUUUUUUUCACUGUCAUAUAUCUCGUAUCGACAAUCGGUAAUAAAAGAUCGAAUUAUCUGGACGUUUAAUUCUAAACCGAAGGAUAAAUUGAAAUAGUUUUACAACUUUGUUCAUAUCGACGAUACAAGUUUGUAAUAAAAUGAUAUUACGAAAGUACAUAUCAUAGAUACCAGCUAUCGUAGAAUUGAUUAGAAAGAGUUAUUAUCUCGAAGAGUUAAUUGCUAGUUAAUUGCUCUUUAUAGAAUUGGUAUAUCGAAGGUUUCAUCGAUACGUCGUAAAAUAUGAGAUCGUGUAAACAUUCGUUAUAUUUAUAAAAUGAUAUAUAUAUAUAUAUAUAUAAAAAAGAAUUUUAUUCCUAAUACGAAACGAUAAGUUCGAUUCGUUCUAGCGAACUGGAAAUAUUAAAUUCAAAUUGUAUCAAGGUUAUAUAAAUGUUAAAUAUGUAUCCUCCGCAUAUUUGAGCAUUGAAAUUUUAUGGAAAAAGAUUCAUGGAAGGCAGAAUUGCUAACCUUUUCCAUUAUUCAAAUAUAUUGAAACACAAGUGGAAAGAAUUUCGAAAAAUCAAAAUUCGUUUUCGUUUCGACAGAUAGGAUUUUUCAAAAGGUAAAAUUCGAAACGAUUUUUAAUAAUAUCGAGAUAAAUUAAUUUCUUCGGGGAUAAAAAUUAAGGAUAUCAAAGAUUCGAAAAUUUUUAAUUUUUUUAAUUUUUCGAAAAAGUUUUCUAUUCGUUAUUAUGGAGCGAUUUUCAAUAUAUUUCACUUUUCUAUGGAUAAUUUGUGUCAUUUCAAUUAGGAUAAUCACACUGGAUAGUCGAUUUCUUAAUUAUAUUCAAAAUUUCGAAAUUUUUAUUUCUUGAGCUUCGAAUUCAUUGCAGCUUUCCUUCUCCGAUGGAUAAAUCAUUUUUCUUCGAUUAAGAAUAUUCGAUUUCUUAGAAUCUUAAAGACACAAUUUUAAAAUUUUGAAGAUUUCGAUUUCAAAAUUUUUUUACAAAAUUUCAAAAUUUUGAUUUCUCGAACUCAUUGCACCAUUUCCCCUUUUUCAUCGUUUUUCUUCGAUUAAAAAUAUUCGAUUUCUCGGAAUAUUAAAAAAUUAAGGACACUAGAUAUUCGAAACUUCGAAAUUUUGAAAAUUUCGAUUUCUCGAUUCACAUCAGCUUUUUUUCGAUCGAGGACAGUCGAUUUCCCAGAAAAAAUAAAAAUAAAAAUAGAACGUUAAAACAACUUUAAAAAAAUUUGAAAAUUUCCAAUAUAUUUCCCUUUUCCAUAGAUAAUUCCUCGAUCGAUAUAUAAAACACGACAUCGAGUGCAACAAGGUCACCGUUGUGUAUGUGUGUGUGCAAAGCCCUCGUUUAUAAUUUAUCGGCGGUAGCGCGCCAACUUUUGAAUUGCUUGAAACUCGCCCUCGGAGACUCGCCGCCAGAUAAUCGCGAUACGUUGCGACAUUUGUAUUUUACACGCGAGUCUUCUACAAUUCGAUCCGGAAUUUCACAUGGAUAUCGAACGAUAAUAAAAACUUCAAUUUCUCUUAUCGACUCGGUCGAGAACAGAGGGAAACUUUCACAAUCUCUCGACAUUUAUCUCCGACUUUCAGCCAACGUUAUAUCGUAACAUACAUCAGCAUUACGAAUAUACCGCUUGUCCUAUUCUUCGCCACCUUUCCACGCCUUUCCCCCAUCCGCGAUUCGCGUGAAAAGGCUCGUUAUGUUCUGUACGGAUAAAUGUUUUCGAACGUAUGUAACUUUUUCCAUAGGGGACUAAAAAUUUGCUUGACACGCGAUAAAGAGAUAUAAACGACAUUAUCUUUCUUGCAAUUAAACCAUUAUUAACCAUCUGCUUGUUAAAUGUAUCGUUUAUCCGAUUUGUAAAUUAUAUCUUUUGUAUUUAUUUUACUUCGUAACUAAUUUUCGUGAGUAAUUCGCGAAUAUAUAUUUUGAAACACGUAUAUCUAUAACGUGUAGACGAAAAAUUGGUAAGAUAUUCAAUUAUUCGUUUCUAUUUGGUACAACUCACUAUUAAAUUGCGCAAUAAGAUACCGCUUCUCGGGAAGCGUUGAAAAUACAAUUAACCUAAGUACGACACAAGAUAUCGUUCUUCACUGUGUUUAUUUUAACAGGUAGACUAAACUGGAUAUCGAUCGCUGUGAGACAUGAUCUAGCGUCACAGUGAUCAUCAAACAAUUAAUAUAAUUAAUAUAAUAUUAAGUCGUAUAAUAAUAAUAAUAUCCGAGACACGAUGGUGAGAAAGAGCGAGUCGAAUUCAUCGAGUAAGUUAAAAACUUAUCUUAAUCUCUCGAGGAAAAAACUUCUCGAAAAUUAAUAUUUCUCGGUUUUAAUAUAUCUCGCCAGCCGGUCUGUUACGGUUACUCUGGUAAAAAAGACGCAUCGAUCUAGGGACGAUGAGGACAGCCCGAUAUAAUUACUCCGCGACGACCUCGCUCUCUCUCGUUGCGCUCGUCUCGCUGGCAUCGUUAAGGUCUGCUGCAUUUAACAAGAGCGGCCAUUCGAUUCUCUAUUUUGUUAAACGAGCAUUCCGAUAAAUACGUGUGCGGAGCGUAGAGACGUCUAUGUCCCGUUUCGCGAUUAAUAAAUUUCUAUAGUUUUCUAUAGACUCGUGCUAAUCCUUUUAUCCUUGAUAAAACAUUUAUUUGUCUAGGCAUCAUUUUUCGUGCUAAUUUUUUUUUGUGUCAUAUCUCUUGAUAAAAUAUUUAUUUAUUAUUGUUCGAGGAAAUAUUUUAUCAACGAUUAUAAUUUCUUUAAAUUUUCAAUGAUAAAAUAUUUAUUUAUCAUUGUUCCAGGCAUAAUUUUUAUGAUUCGUGAUAAAACAUUUAUUUAUCAUUAUAUUUAACAAGACUCGUGAUUAUCAGUUGAUUUUCAAUUUGUCGCAAUUUUUCACGUUGAUUUGAAAGACGAGUAAAGAGAGAAUGAAAGACACCUUUAAUAAAGAUCGAUAAUUAUAAGGUUACGCUUCACGAGACAGUUCAGUGGGAUGACAAACUGGCAUCGUGAGAGCGAGCCAACUCGGAUCGUUCGAUUCUUGACGGUCUCCUUGACGAUGAGACAAGCGAGGAGGAUUUAUUGUCCUUUGAAACCGCCACGUUAUGUGUCUCACACGCCACGACUUUCAAAUACCUUUUUGUUAUCUCUUUCGUUUGUUGCACGCGACAGAAAUACAUGGGAGGGAUAUAAAUUUAAUUUUAUCCUGCGAUUAAAUAUAAUCUCGGCCGAUAUUUAUGGUAAAUAUCACGCGAUGGUGUGUUGUGUAACGAUAGAGCAUCGUUUUAUUAUCCUUUCUUUGCGAUUAAUAUUAGAUAUCUGUUGCUCGAAGAACAUAUUGGAGGAUAAUAUCUUUCAAACUGUGUUAUCGACUGAAAUUUCUCCGACGGUAAAUAAUUCAAUAUCAAUAGUCGAAAAUUAAUUCUUAAAAGAAAGAAAGAAAGAAAGAAAGAAAAAGAAAAAGCAAUAUAUUCUAGAUACAUGCAUACAUACAAAACGAUACAUUACUCGUCGCAGACGACAACGAAAUUGACGAAGGUGACUGAAGGAAGAAGCACUUUCAUUUCGAAUUCAUCUGCCGAAGUGGAUUCUCGUUCACGACUCUACUACUCAUUUACUUUCACCUGUCAUGAAUUUUCGCUCUUCCUCUCGAAAUCCGUCGCACUUUUCAUCGCUCGCUCGCUUGCUCGAAUCGACCGCUAACCUUUAACGUCCAUCAUCCACCGCCACGUCGAGUAUUUGUUCUAAUUACCGAACUCGAACUUGGUAUUUCAAUUUGCUUGUUCCAUCGCGCCCAUUCUCUUUGAAUCUCGCAUAAUUAGACCGGUCUAUUCUCUUUCUCUCUCUCGUCCCUUUUGUUACUUUUCACUUGGAACAGAGAGAGAGAGAGAGAGAGAGAGAGCGCCUCGAUCCCUCUUCUCGCUUUGCAUUCGAAUACAACGUUCUUUGAUGCGUGUGUAAUCGCGAUUUUAUACCCGUUCUCCCUUCUUUUUUUCUCUCGUUUGUAUUUUGUCACGAGAAAAGAAGAGAGGGGAAAAAAUAGAGAGAGAGAGAAGAGAGAGACAGGAACAUUCGAUGAAAAAUUGAUCGCGCAUUGUGUCUGUCAGAUUUUCGAAAGCAGCGGAGAAAUGUUGUUCAAAGAUAAUUGAAUCGAAGGGAAGAGAAGCGUUUUUAGUUCAUCACGCAAUAAUCGAUCGAUCGAUAAUGGCCGGUGAACGCUAUAAACAGAGCGAGAAGAAAUUAUCAUUCUAGCAUAAGCUUUACACUAGCGUGGAUCCAUUGAGUCACUUCGGUGGUCCGUGUGUAUUUUAAGCGAUGCUUAUAAUUACGUCGAGCGAACUCGCUUUUUCGUUUCAGUCCUUUUGAAGGUACCUCGAAAAUGUUUCCUUGCGAGAUAAACAAUUUCAGUUGGAUAGAAUCUUUAAUCUUUGACGUUUAGUAAGAAGUUUAUAUCUGUUUGAAGUGUCGUGUACAUCGCACAAACCCAUGAAACGAUCCAAUGCACAGUUAGUCGCAUAAUGCCCGAACUGUUCGUUUACACUGCACGCGACACACUUGGAAAUUCUCAUGAAUAGACAAUAGAAGAAAUUGUUCUUUCUCGUACAUACGUUUAAUAAUGUGCAACAUUGACGCGCAAAAGUAGCUAACUAGUUGAAAGAAAAAAACUUUUCCGACUUCCGUUUCGCUCAUUUCCGUUUAUCCGCAACGAAGACGGAUUCAGAUUCGAGGGAGCAUUAAUUUCUGUUCCAUAUUUCUUCUCUUUCCUUCCUGGGAAAGCCGCCUCGAUGGCGCCCUCUAGACUUUGGCUCGUCGCCAAACCUCUUUUCUUUCUCUUUUUCGACCUCCUUGCCAUUACCCCUUGCUGCUCGUUUGUUACCUUCCUUUUUCUUUUUGUUCUCCUCCGUUUCCUGCUUACCUUCGUACCGCAUCGAUACUAUUACGUAAGCUCUCUUGAAUCGAAAAAGGAACACUGAAAUAGGUACGUAUAGAGUGAUACUUUUGUCAGUGAACUCUAGAGGCAGUACCAUCGCCUAUAUAUCGCAACAUGGCGAUAAUUUUGUGUUUAACGUACAGUUCAUCUAUCGAUAAAGAAAUUGAAAUUGUUGUUGUUCUCUCGGUGAGUGAGUUGACGAAGAGAUCGAAGUCGCAAUUUUAUUAUUGAAUAAUUAUUGUUGAUCAUUGUAGCGAAGACGAUUGUAUUUUGUAACGUUCGAAGAGUGAUUAUAAACUGUAUACAAAUAGUAUUGAAAUCGAGACGAGGAAACGGAUAGUGGAAUCUUGAGAAAAAGAAAAGCUAGGAAUUCGAUCUGCAAGGCUUCGGGUCAAUAACCUUAUACGUUUUCUUGUUGGCUCGAACUGCAGGGUUGGAGGGAGUGAAAUAGGAGAAAACAGCUGAUGUCACUUAGGGAAGCGAUCUCGUUUGAUCCAUGAAAGAAGAAUGGGACUUUUUGUAGUGAUUUAGAUUCAUUUAAUAUAUAAAAUCAGGUUUGGUUAUAUUUUAUUUUCUACAAUUCUAAUUUUAAUUAAUAUUAUUUAAAUCAGAUAAGCAUUUCAAAAAAAUAUUAAAGCGAGAAAAAUAUUAAAUAAUAAUUCGCUUCACAGUUGACAACGUAUUUCGAGCAAUUUUAUUUUAGGACAUUCGAAAAAUUGACAUUUAUCGCGGCAAUCUGUCGGUUUUAUCUUCGAAUUCAAAGGGCUAAACGGUCGAUUUACAACCAGACAGACGUUGCAUUCGAAAGUAGAGAAUAUUUUUGCCGGUGGAUCUCGGUUGGUGGGGCAGUGGUUGGCACAGAGAAUUCGAAAUCGACAAUUUCAAGUGUCGUGUCCUAGUGCUGGCAUCCACUGGUUUAACAAUACUUCCCUCUAUCUCCCUUUCUUUCUCUCUCUCUUUUCCUCGUCUCUGAUCUCUCUGUUCUUCAGGCAUGCCGUAUUGAUCGAACGAACACAAGCACUCGGGGGAAGUCGGUGUUGGACUUUCAUAUACUAUACACACAUAUGUGUUCUGGUUCCGGUACCCGAAUUAUGUAGCCACACACUCGUGUAGAGACAUCUAAAGUUUUAGAUAAACAUAAAUUGGAUUUUUCUUUUGUAAUAAUUUUUUUUUCUCGAAUAAUUUUUAAGAAAUUUUAAUUUUUAUUUUAAUUAUAAAUAUAUUAUUAUUUUCUUAAAUUGCUUAUAAUUUUUAAAAAGUGCGAGUGUAAAUCUUUACUAUACGUUUCGAAAGUCAAAUGUUACAUAUUUUAAUAUAUCGAUGAAUAUGCGAUUUGCGAUUGACGUGAUUUGUGGAUAAUGAUGAAAAUAGAAGGAAAAUAUAUCGUAAUUAAAUUUAAUAUAUUAUAAGUCAGAUACAUAUAUGUAUUAUUACAUUAAUUUUAAUUUCAGUUUCUAUGUCAAACGUAUAUAUGAAUAUUGAUGUAGAUAUCAAUUUUUUAUUUUUCAUUUCGUACGAGAAUCGUCGAAGAUAUUAAUUAAUGUACAGAAACAAAAUCGAUUGAAUACAAAGACUUUAGAAAUUCUAGCGUGGCAGAGGUCGAUUGUGCAGUUGUAUCUCUUUUGAUUGUAUUGAAUUGCUUAUUUCGAUUUCUGAAAAGUGAUAAUCAUAAUAUACAGAAAAUAUAUUUUUUACGUAAAGAUUUAAAAAGUUUAGAGAAAACAUAAGUGUUUUACAAAUAAUUUUUGUAGGAAGUUUUUUUCAAUCUUUUCGUCUUAUCUAUUUUCGUUGCGUCGUAUAAAAAGAAUAAUUAAGAUUUCUUUUAUCGUCAAAUUAAUUCUCAAUAAUUACGAAUAAUAACGUAAUUAAAUAUAUCGACUGAGAGAAUUUUUUUCCUCGAUCAGCGAUCACUUGAAAUAUCAGAACGCAGAAAUGUCACUUAUUUGCGUCACUGAACUAGUUUUAUGUAGAAUUAAAAAAAAAAAAAAAAAAGAGAAUCGUAUCUCGUUCGCUUAAUACCGUUUCAUGUCCCAUAUUCGGAACAUUAUUGUCUUUAUGACAAACGAACGUCACAAAGAUACGAUAGAGGCAGCAACGAUUUAAUAUUCUACAGUUAAAUCAUUUCAUCUACGUGACAUAUCAUUUUAAGUAUCUACUUAUUCUUUUCGAUGUAUAUGUACAUCCUCUUCAAUAUAUUACGAUGUACAUUUGACAUAUUUUUAAUUAUUAAAUUUUGAAAUUUCAUAUUCAUUAUUUCAAAUUCAAUAUCAAAUUCAUCAUUAUUAUAGAAAAAAAAAAAAUAUUUGUGUAUUAUAUAAAAUUCGGUUAAUUAAAAUUAUCCACAUACUCUGUUCCAUAUAUCAAUAAACAAGAAAAUAUCGCGUGAUUGUAACGCUCACUUUUCGCACGAUCGUUUCACGAUAAUCAAAUAUAAACGAAUUAACACAUUAAAUUCUUCUAAAUACUUCUCACGAAAUCUCAAGAUUAUGAACUCUCACUUUUGAAAUAAAGUCGCGGCGAUUAUCGAACCGAAGCGUGACUAUUACUUAGGCUUAUUUGAAUGACGCGCGCUUGACCGAUAAUGUCGUCACGGAAAUAUUCGCGUUAUGCGCGCGCCAUUAACCUCCGGCCGCUUGCUUGAUUUUCAUGGUAAGCAAAGUGUCGCUUGUUUCGUGCUCGACCACGAGUGGCACCGCUUGUUAAAAACGCUUUUUCGCCCGUGGUAUACCGUCGGGCGACUGACACCGAUUUCUUUGAGCGAAAAAAAAAGAGAUCGCCGGUGUUUUAGACAGAAUUUUAAAUUUACGACGAGAUAACGAUCGAUCAACGGAACGAGGUGAAGAUAGAGGGUUCGUAAAGUUUUUUCUUGCAUACAUUUUCCCAUGCUUUGCAUAACGAGAUUGUAUUUUUUGGUUAAAUUAGGUUAGGUAAGAUCUUUUUGGUUAAGUAAGUGCGAUUAAAUUAUGGAUAAUUUAGAGACGUGUUUUUUUCGAUCUUUUUGAACGAGAAGAAUGAUAUUGUAGGCAAAUUUUGUGGUAAAAUAAUGAUCUAUUAAUAAAACGAAGUGAAAAUAUAAUUCGUAGAGUUGUUUCGCCGUGUAUCAGUAUUAAUAAUUAUGAAAUUAAAAAUCUCAUUAUCUUUUUCGGAUUUUAUAUUAAGAUAAUGAUCGAUCAAUGGAAUGAACAUGAAAAUAGAAUUUCGUUUUUUUCUUGCAUAAAUAACAAUAUAAUAACAUUGCAUGAAUUUCUUUUUUAUUGAAAAAUUUCUUGUUUUCUCUGCAAAAAAAAAAUUGUUGUGCAAAUAAUUUCGUAUGUUAAUUCUACAUUCUACUUCUCGUAAAUUACUUAGGUUACUUGUUUUUGUAAAAUAGAGAUCAUUAAACAUGGAAUUGGUCAGGAAUGUCGAAGAGUUUUAUAAAAACAUUUACUUAAUGUUGGAUUUCUACUCGGAAAUUUCAUUUUCUUCUGCCAGCCUUGUUCCAGCCUCUUUAAUUGCGUGUUUCAACUGUUUAUUGGAUCGCAAUACAUUUCUUUGUAUGCGUUCAAUAAUUCAUUUCUAAAGUUUUCCAAAGAUAGAACGUACGAUUAAUGUUUUCGUUCCUUCUGUGCAAUUGCGUUACUGUGACGAUCAUUAUAUUCAAUUAAAUUCAUAAAUCAUAAGUAUAUAAAGGACAAUAUAGCGUGACAAUCGUAUAAUCGAUGCAUCAUCGUACGAGUUGAAGAUUAAAUUGCUAUUUACGAACUUACUAAAAUACCUUUAUUUAUGGAAGAUCGAAUGUUCGCCUCUGGAGAUCUCACUCCUUCUUCCCUCGAGGAAAUGCACAAGGGGAUCAAAGAUGCCCCAGAUGUCUGCACGACUAACGGCUCCAUUAAUUGCCAUGAGCUUCAGAUUUAUGAUACGUGGCCGACUAAAGAGGGUAAAGUGAUACGAAAAUGAUGUAUUUACGAAAUUAGCAAUUUUCAAUGAUUACUAAAAUCUUUUACUAAAAUUUAACAAAUGUUAUAUUAAACGUUAUGAUAAUUAUUUUAUGAUUAAAAAUACUUUCAAAGAAAUAUUCUUUCAAAGAAAUUCGUUUCAACGUUUUAUUAAAAUUCACAAAAUGUAAAAUAUAAAUAUAUAAAGUGUAUUCGAGUUUUAAUUUUAAACCUUAUAUAAAUAAUAAAUAAUUUAAUCUUGUAAAUAAAAAAAGAAAUUAGAAGCUUUAUUUUUCGAUCUUUUUCAAAUCAUGGUACUUUUUCCAUCUUGGACAAAAUAGGACGAUGCAACUUUCGCUCGUUUAGCAUGAAAGUUUGCCGCGAAUCUAUGAAUACGUAUGGUCCUUAGACGGUGUUGGCGGAAACUUGCGGGUCGAAAGCCAGGCCAGCAUUUCCGGCUUGUUUGCGAAACACCCAACUAACGGCCAUUUAUCUCGUCUCGCUUAAAGCCGCCACGAAAUCAUGUGUAACUUUUCCUUCGUGUCUCGCCACCGAUUGAUUCGUAUCCCUGCACCUGCACUCGCGUGUGCGUACACGCGACUGCAUGCACCUGCCACGUGAAAGGGAUCUGGAGAAAAGUUCUUUCACGGUUGUGACUAACGUGCUGUUCGUGAAAGAAAUACAAGUCGAAGUUGGAUGAAUAAAUUGAGAAAAAGAUGGAAAAAUGUAUGGUUUUUGGAAGUUUUCAAAUUUCGAAAGUU